GGGGGUAAACGGACAGAGCCCGUGAAUCCGGGUGGCGGAAUUCAGGGCGGCCGAGCCGUCUCUGUGUGCGGUUCGAUCGUCUGAUUUUUCCGUCGCCGGCUACCCGCGAGGGUGGCGUGCGGACGUCGCGAUCCGUUCGACGUCGGUCUUAACGUGCGGAAGAGCCUGGCCGCGGAGCUCGCGCGUCGGUCGGCGCGUGUUCGUCUUUCGGGGCGAGCGCGUGUUGUCGGCGCGCGAACGCGGUGGACUUCUGGCCGACUCGUCGGACGGUAUGCGUUUGUGAAGGUGUCCGGGCGUCGUUACCUCGUGUACGCGACGUUCGGUGCCGAUCAGCGACGAUUCUUCGGGCCUCUUUCCGACCCGUCUUGAAACACGGACCAAGGAGUCUAACGUGCGCGCGAGUCGCGGGGUGUCGUGCGUGUGCGCGUGCUCGUCACGCGUACGCGUUCGUCAUACGUUGCUAAACCCGUCGUUUCCGAGGCCGGUGUCUCCGUCGUUUCGGCGGCGAAGCGCCGCUUCGGGCUCGCUAAAGGCGUAAUGAAAGUGAACGGCGCGGCGGCCUUCGGGUCGUCGCGCGCGCGGGAAGAUGGCGUUCCGAGUACACGUUCCGCGGCCUCGAGUCGCGGCCGGACGUCCGCAUUCCCGGGGCGUCCCAACAGCCCGUUUCACGACGGACUGGGGCGCACCCGUAGCGUGCGCGUUGGUACCCGAAAGAUGGUGAACUAUGCCUGGUCAGGAUGAAGUCAGGGGAAACCCUGAUGGAGGUCCGUAGCGGUUCUGACGUGCAAAUCGAUCGUAUGAACUGGGUAUAGGGGCGAAAGACUAAUCGAACCAUC
rnacentral:rRNA from 1 species